AGGAUGAACGCUGGCGGCGUGCUUAACACAUGCAAGUCGAACGGUGAAGCCCAGCUUGCUGGGUGGAUCAGUGGCGAACGGGUGAGUAACACGUGAGCAACCUGCCCCUGACUCUGGGAUAAGCGCUGGAAACGGCGUCUAAUACUGGAUACGAGUAGCGACCGCAUGGUCAGUUACUGGAAAGAUUUAUUGGUUGGGGAUGGGCUCGCGGCCUAUCAGCUUGUUGGUGAGGUAAUGGCUCACCAAGGCGUCGACGGGUAGCCGGCCUGAGAGGGUGACCGGCCACACUGGGACUGAGACACGGCCCAGACUCCUACGGGAGGCAGCAGUGGGGAAUAUUGCACAAUGGGCGCAAGCCUGAUGCAGCAACGCCGCGUGAGGGAUGACGGCCUUCGGGUUGUAAACCUCUUUUAGCAGGGAAGAAGCGAAAGUGACGGUACCUGCAGAAAAAGCGCCGGCUAACUACGUGCCAGCAGCCGCGGUAAUACGUAGGGCGCAAGCGUUAUCCGGAAUUAUUGGGCGUAAAGAGCUCGUAGGCGGUUUGUCGCGUCUGCUGUGAAAUCCGGAGGCUCAACCUCCGGCCUGCAGUGGGUACGGGCAGACUAGAGUGCGGUAGGGGAGAUUGGAAUUCCUGGUGUAGCGGUGGAAUGCGCAGAUAUCAGGAGGAACACCGAUGGCGAAGGCAGAUCUCUGGGCCGUAACUGACGCUGAGGAGCGAAAGGGUGGGGAGCAAACAGGCUUAGAUACCCUGGUAGUCCACCCCG
rnacentral:rRNA from 1 species